UCCUCAGUUCACGCACGGCCGCAAAACAGUGCAGACGUUACGCUCGGUAUAUGUGCAUGUUCGAUGCGAGGAGUCGAAAUAAAAUAAAUUUAACCGUUUGGACGUGUGCAUUGUAUGUGAAGGAAUUCGACAGAAUAUAUUUUUCCACUGAAAAUUGCAAAAAUUUUUCCCCAUCGCAUGGACAAAAUAAGAAUUUUAUUUUGAUAAAAAAAAUUGUGAAUUUUUUUUAAUUUUGUUUCUUCUGUGUGUUAUUGUGAUUUUGGUUUUUAUUGUUUUUUCUGAUGUGAUUCGAAGAAAUUUUUCUUUCGUCCCUUUUUCCGCCUGCCGGAAAAAAAAAGCAAAUUUAAAAGGAAUUUUUAUUUUUGUUACUUAUUUUCAUUUGAUGUGGAAGUGGAUACAAAUUCGAUAUUGUUAAGUAGAUGUUUGUUAGACCGAAUAAUAUAUAUAUCGUUGCUUGGGUAUAAUAUUAUAUGUAUGGAUUUGUCAAGUGUUUACGUGUUAUACGUGAAAAGGAUAAUCUCACAAGCUGAAGGAGUUAAGCACACAGAUAUUCGAGUCUAAGAAUUUCUCUGUUGGAUUAUCGAGCACAAAGUCUUACUGGAUGCGGCCUCUAGCUUCCGAAUUAAAAAAAAAACCUACGAUCAUGAAAAACGAAAUGUUUCCAUCGAAUGGAAGGAAAGCAUAAAAUAGAAAGAAAUAAAUAAAUAAACGCAACUUAUGAUGUUGUGUCUCUGUAUUCGAAAACCGACCAAAGGAAACUAAGGAAAAUCGAACGAAGAUCUGCGCGCUGUGAAUACAUAACGAAAACUCUGUUAAUAACGAUCACUACUUUGCAGGCGUAUUCGCAUCAUCACCAAUAUAGUAACAGAAAUUUAUUUUUAAUUUUUUUUUUCUUUCACUUUAAUAAUCUUUUAUUCAGUUUUGCCAAUCGUCGUCGGGUGAGAGAGUUUGUUAAAGAAGAAUUGCACAUUUUUUUCAUUUAUCCGAUCAGUUAUAACGUGUAAUAUCGGCGUAAUCAGUGUACGGGAUUUUUUUUAUUGUUUUUCGUGUGCAAUCAAUACAAUAUAUAAGUCGGGUUAUAUACCUCCCACAGUAACGGUGACUUAUGCUCAUUUGCUUUAAUUUUCACCGAACAUUCAUCAACACAAAAAAAAUAUUACCCAAUUCCAUUCUAUAUGAACAAAUAUAGUUAUAUGUCAAUGUGAAGUGAAUUGAAAAAUGGAAAUUGUUCAACUUUUCGCCGAAAUGUGUUUCACGAAGUGAAUAAUUGAUUAUAGAAAAUAUUUUUUCUGUUGAUUUUCUUUUGUGUGUGGUGGUAAUGAAAUCAUCAUUUUGAUAAGACAUCAUUGGUGCAAAAUUUAUUCCAAUAAUUUUCUAGUUUCCGAAUAAAAAAAUGUUGGACAAGGAGAAUGGAUUAUGGCUAUUCACAGUCUUACUGGUGACAUCAUCUGCCGUUUGGCAUACGGCUUACUGUGAAGAUGAAACCGUAUCGACAUUACGUGGUCAGUCGGUUGUAUUAACAUGUCCUAUAGACAUCACGUCCUGUGGCGACCUACAUUCAGUCAAGUGGUUUAAAGGAAAUGAGCGAGUUGCGGUUGUGUCGGGUGAUGGCGAUGUAUCGAACGUUGAAGGGCAAUUUACUGGACGAAUGACGAUAAGUCACAACCCUAAAGGGCCAUUGACAAAAUUAAAUCUGAAAUCCGUUCAAGUGACAGAUGAGGAUAAAUAUCUUUGUGAAACGACAUUCAUUGAACCAAUGGAAAGCUGCGACAACACAGGAUCUUAUAGCAUUUUACUUAAAGUAAAUGUUCCACCAUCAUCCAUUCAAAUCGUCGACGAAUCCAAUAAUCCGAUUAAAAAUGCAACAACAUUGGGACCAUUACGUGAGGGACAUCGUUUUUCGACUAUAUGUGAAGUGCGAGCAACACGUCCUGUUCCAUUAGUUGGCUGGUAUCGUGCAGGGAAAAGAUUAACCGACUCCGUGACAACCAGUGAAUUGAAUGGCCUAUAUUCGGUGAAGUCGGUGCUAUCGUUGGAGCUUUCGCGACAAGAACUGGGCGCUAACAUUGAAUGUCGCGUUGAAACGCCAGCUCUGGAGAACAUCGUUAGCAAUAACAUUCAUAUCGAUUUACAAGUCCGUCCAACGAAGGUCGAUUUGAGCGGAGUAAAGGACCACACCGUUCAAGGCAGUAAUAUAUUGCUACAGUGUUUGGUCGUCGGGGCUCGUCCAGCUGCAAAUGUUACAUGGUACAAUAAUACAGAACGGUUAGAUCCAGAUGAAAAUCAGGACAAAAGAACCAUCACAACGAGAACGGAUUUCAAAAAUGAUGGAACAUUUGAGACACUCAGUCAAUUGAUUUUUGCUGCAACUCGUUUCGAAAAUGGUGUUCAGAUUCGAUGCGAAGCCGACAACGUUGUGAUGAGAGACGAUUUGGAUAAACCUCUACACGAUACACUAAGUUUGGAAGUUAUGUACCCACCUGUAGUAAAUGUUAAACCGGAAAAUAUAACGGUGAAUGAGACUGGCGAAUUUCUGCUGUUCUGCGAAUACGAAGCAAAUCCUGCCUCAUUGAAAUCAGUUCGUUGGUUGAGGAACGGUGAACCGGUUGAUGUUAACCAAGGCAGAAUUGAAGGUGGUAACACCGAACAGACUGCUUUGCUGAUUAAGGAAGCGUCCCGAGAUGACAUUGGCUCAUACACUUGUGAAUUGAAGAACGAUUAUGGUAUCGGUGUUUCUGAGAAUGACAUCGAUGUCGAUGUAUAUUAUGUGCCAAUCGUGGAACUUACUAAAGAACCGACGAAACCGAUUAUCGAGAAGGACGAAUCGAACGUAACACUGUAUUGUAAUGUGGUGAAAGGCAAUCCAAGUACUUUAUUGAAAGUACGAUGGUUCUUAGACGGGCAAAUGUUGAAAGAAUUGCCUGAAUGCCAAGAGGGCACCGGUGAUGACGAUGAUUCAUUGUGCGGAGUCAAUCCGAAUGUUUUGUUACUAGAAAAUGUCGGUCGCGAAUUUCUGGGUAAUUAUUCUUGCGAAGGCUUGAACGCGGCCGGCUGGGGUCAACGCAGCAAAGAGAAUGAACUGAUGAUUUACUAUCAACCCGGAAACGCUACGCUUAUUCACCAUCCACUGAUAGCCACCAAGAAGAAAAGUGUUACAUUUCAAUGUUCUGUUGAGGACGGUGGGAAUCCGAAUGCAACCAGAUAUCGUUGGCUGCGUGGAGGUAGUCCAGUAAUGGAUAUAGUGACGUCCGUUUGGACAGUUGAUCCAGUUGGGUUAGAUUCACGGACGAACUUUUCUUGUUACGCUUAUAAUGAGGGUGGUGAUGGUAACCCAGCAACAAUCGAUUUAGACGUGCACGUACCACAAGCCUUUAUUCAGAAAUUACAUCCAUACACCGGUGCAUUGUAUAAUAUUCCUGGCAUCAUGUUGACCUGUCGAGUGGAGUGUGUACCAGAGUGUACGAUUAAUUGGUUCAAAGACGGAGUCGGUAUUGAUGAAUCAAAUGAUAGAUAUUACAUUAACGAAACCUAUCUACGAGCUGAGCCGGCCACAGGCGAUUUUGAGAGUGUCUUGUCAGAAUUGCACUUUAAUAUGUCAGCUUGGCCAGACCAGAAACUUGACAUUUACAAAGAUAAUGCCAAUUAUUCAUGCUCGUCAACAUCAAAAACAGAUGGGCCUGGUGUCAGAAGUGCUACUUACAUUGGCGUUGAAUAUCCGCCAGAAAAUACAACAAUAACAAAUUCAACAAUCAACGUUGAAGAAGGUCUCCAACCACCACGUGUUUCUUGUUCAGCCAAAGCAUACCCGGAACCGUAUUAUGAAUGGCGUCGAAAGGAUGUCACCAUUGCGAAAGGAAGUGUUUUGUAUAUCUUUCGUAAUAUGACUAAAGAGGAUGAUGGCGACUACCACUGUAUUUCAUUCAAUAAGCAUGGUAAUCAUAGCGCCGUUACGCGAAUGAAUGUUUUAUAUAAACCAAAUUGCACCAUCGAUCGAAAGGAAAUAAAUGACGAGGAUACGCUCGUCUGUACUGCCAUUGGUAAUCCCACCGAGAUGGAUUUCGAGUGGUCGGUGAAAAGUGAUAACGAAACCACUGGACUACAGGAAGUGCGUAACAGUGACAGUGGCGGUUCUCCGGCCAGUUUUCUCAUUUUGAACAAUGAUUUCACCGUGCAGCGAACAUACAGAUGUGUUGCGAACAAUUCGGUUGGAGUUGGAACAUUUUGUGAAAUUGAAGUUGCAGGUCACUUAAUGUGGUGGCAGAGACUCGACAAAGUAACACUUUACAUUCUGUUGGGUCUGGUUGCUGCAUUGCUUCUGACUGUGAUAAUAGUGUGUAUAAUAAUUAUUUGCAUAUGCAGGAAGCGAAGGCGCCAAGACAAAUAUCACACGGAUUUAUCCAUCAGUGCAACACAAAGUGUUUUAUCAGUGCCAACGACACCCCCGCCAAGACCUCCACCUCCAGAAAUACCAAAAAGUCCACCAAAAUGGCCAUUACGUCCUGGUGUCAUGGUUCACGUGAAAAGUGAUACCAAAUUGAGUGCGUCGAGAACACAAAGUCCAGCAUCCAUCGCUGCGAAUAACUCAUCAAAUCAGCAUAACGUUAGCUAUGCAUCACCGAUUCUAAGCCAAAGCCUUCGGUCAACUAGUCAACCGCCUGUGGCAAACGUUAGUAGCAACAGAGAGGUUGCAAUUGAUUUAUCUCCGAAAUCACCCCCGAUACUGCCCAGUCGAAAUCUGCUAAACAAAUUUCAAACUAAAACUACUGUCCCUGACAACGGUACAGAAACGAGAGAGUGUUCUGCUGAUGGCAUUGCGGACCAUAAUGGAUCAACAGCUGCUAACAACACUAAUGACGAAUUAAUUAACUUUACGAGUUCUAGUCUUAUUGAACGGAUUUUGGGUAGAUUAAGAUGGCGUCGAGAACGAACUAAACGAAAUGAUGUUGAUGGCGAGACAGAUGAUGGUAUGACAAAAGGCAAUAAACGUGCUGUUAACCUAAUACGUGGAGCAACAGGAUGGUUUGGUAGUGGAAAGUCGACAAAUUCGAGUACAGGAUUAUUUGACAAGAGACAUCAAUUUAGUGGCAUAACAUGCAGCGAUGGUGUUGUUACUUAUAAACGGACUCCCGUGGCAGUUCGGCCAAUUGUAAGCGAAGAUGCUAAUACAAACAAUAAUAAUAGCAACGAGUCAAGGAAGCGCAAAGUGAAUGCAAAUGUAAACGACAAAUCAUCGGCGGCGGGCGAUCCGUUGACGGAUCCUGGCGAGUAUGAGAAUCUACCGUUUCACGGCAUGCAAAGCGCCCCAAAUAAGUUCUACACAAAUGCAAAAUCCACAAACAGUAAUGUGGUGCGUGUGGCGCCGCGUCCAAAAAAUAACCCAUCAACAUACAACUAUAAUUUAGCUAACAGUUUUCCAUCACAAUUUUCAUCAAAUUUCUAUCCAACUAACUCAAAUUAUCCAAACUACCCCACAAACAGUACAAGCUAUUCAACCAAUAAUUAUCCGAGUGAAAUGCUUCCGCCACCCGCAACAGUAACUGGUACGACUGGCAGCUCAAUGCUGCCUUUCAAUCCAUUUUUAGUAAAAAAUGCCAAAUCCGAUCGCAAAUCGAAUGUAGUGGAAAAGAAAUUUAAUUCGCUGAAAUCGAUUGGCAUUAAAAAAUCUCCGCAAUUUUAUUCGAUGCGAGUAAAUAAAUGUCGUCGUCAUCAUUCACUCGCUAAUGAACCACAGCAGUUACUUAUUGUCAAUAACAACCAUUCCAUGCCUUAUUUACCGCAAAAUAGCAAAUUAAAGAAUUUCGAUCAGCCGUUGUACGAAAAUCUGACCGACUCGAUUCAGAUCCAUGAAUCAUCAAUGCAAAAUGACAGCUCAUUUGCAUACAUAGGAGAUGAAUUCAAUUGUAAACCGGAACGGAACAGCAUCUAUCGUAGCGAUUCGGGCAUAUCAAAUAGCUCAUACGAAUGCAUAACACCAGUUCCGGCACCGCGUACCAAUCAACGAAAAUGUCAGAGUGCACCCGUCUAUAUGAAUUUACCGAAUUCGUCUUCUCAUCAUAAGCACAAACAUGGUCGCGGGUCUGGUGCUAGUAAAGGGAAGAGUAAUUGUUAUGGCAGUAGUAGCGGUAGUCAUCAUCAAUCUAAGCAUAGUAAUAAGUGCAAAAAUAACUUAUCCAAUGGCGGAGCUUUAUCCAAUUAUGAGCAAACGCAAACUAAUCCAUUUGUAACAUCAACCCGACGACAACAGAUCUUAGUGCCAAAGGAAUUAUUUCCCAUCAAUCAGUCGAAUCAUCAGAAAAGCAUUAACACCGAACCGAACACACAAUCAUCUUCAUCACUAUCACGUCGACCCGUAAAAUUGCCGUUACGGAAACAUCAUAGCUUUCAUUUCCAGCCGUCACAGACGGUGGCUGGUGCAAAGCACAAUAAGAAACAUUACAAAAAUAACGGACCAUUAGUGUUUAAACCGUUUAAUGAAAAUAGUGCAUUUAAGCCGAUAACACCAGUGCCAAAGAGUCCAAGUAAAUUGACGUCAAAUUGUAGUAGUAAUAUUUUAACAGCGCCACGAAUCUGUGGAACUAGCCUUAAGCGACACAUGUCCAAUGUGGAAACAUUCCAAACAAAUCGAAAUGACGAACAGAAUUUCCUAACCGACGACGAGGACAGUCCGACCAGCCCGUCGUCGUCGUCAGCAUCGACGACUCGCGGAAAACGGUUACAUUAUGCCGAUUUGGCACCGUUGAACGGUGGACCGAGCAAAUCGUGCAGUAGUGGAAGUGGUACGGCCAGUUCGGCUAGUAGUGGCGGAGGCGGCGUUUGUGAUAAUGUGAAUAGUGUUGAUGAUGAGAUGAAAUUGAAAAACUAUAACCAAAACGGUAGUGUACCGAAACGGACUACUCAAUAUGCAACGUUGAAAUUUAAUGAGGUGACCAUUUAAUAGGCGAUCAAUUCGGGAUUUUAUAGGAUAGAAUUUAGCUUGACGAUGACGUUACGAAAAAAAGUGAUACAUACAUUUACUAGAAAAAAAAAGCGAAAUUAUCAAAUUUUUUAUUAACUUCCAUAUGCAAUACAAGCUUUGAGCCAUUAAGUGCUGACGA